CCUCCUUCAUUUAUGUGUUGCAGUGACAGUGCACCAGAAAUUUCUUCCUCCCAUGAAACGCGUCACUGUCGCCUGAGUGUUUGCUAAUUGGUGAAAGAUUUAUAAUGGUCUGACCGUUGCUGCUACAGGUUGAAGUUAUGAAGAGCACCGUUCAGCUUGCUGACCUUCUCCCCUGUUCGAUAUGUCUGUAUGCGUGUGACUGAACCUUCUUCCUUUUUCCUGUUCUGUCGUGAUUGAUCUGGAGCUAAGGAGUUUCAAAUUUUUUCUUCGUUCCUCUGCUGCCUUUGUGGGUUCUGCUGGACCGUCCUCAACCUCGGCCUUCGCUAACUCUUCUUUAGCCGUUGUGAGCUAGCACCUCAAGUCUGCCACCUUAACUCGUAAUGCCCAAAGAUUAUCAACAUGGGGGGCAAUGUCCUGGACCCGGUCAGUAGCAGCAGUCAUUCGGGUCUUGGCGGCCAAAUACUCAUCCCUCACUACCCAGUUGUUCUUUAAAUAUUCGGACAGGAGGGGGAGUUCUUUGCGGCAUUAGCAGACAAUGCCAUAACACAAUGGGACUUGAGCUCACAGAAGCGUCAACUCGGACAUGGAGACCGCCUUUGCCACAGCCUCGAGAGCUCGGAUCAUUUCCUCAAAAUUUUGCUCGAGGAGGAAGAAGGGAUCGCGGCUGAGUUGGAAUUGGAUGACUCUCCAAGCAUCCAAUAUCACGUCCAUUUCAGGGACGCAAAUGCGGGAGAAAAGAGCGUCCGUAGGUACUGCCUCCAUUGCAACCAGCUGAAAAGAGUAAAAUAACAUUAGCAAAAGACUAAUACUAGGCUGGCAGGAAUGAAAAUAAAUAAGAAACAAGACUAUCUUGGAUUGGGUCCAUGAGAGCCUUGUCUUUACUCAUGAAGAAGGAAGAGCGCGUGCAGACCGUGCCAUUGAGUGCAGGGCCUUCUCCACACGAUCCGUUAGAGUGGAAAACCCGCUUGACCCUGCUCUGAGCCACCUGGAGUAGAGGCAAAGGUGGUCAGUGCAUCACCCAUAGACUUUACCUGCGACCACUCAGAGCUCCUUCCUUCUAGAAGAUUUGUUAAGUGGGAGGGAAGGAUUAGACUGAGUGGGGAGAUCAUUCGGGGGCUCGCAGUGGCAGCAAGGUCCUGGCCCCCAAGCUCCAGCUGAUCGCCUGAGGCAGUGACAACAGCUUUCCUUUAAUCAAGAGCAGCCCUGACAUUUUCUAGACUGCUUGGGGCUGCGAUAGACAGGAUAGCUCCCUGACUUUCACCACCUUCUGCUACCUCCUGGGCCACCUCUUGAGCAAAUCCAACUAGAUCCAUCGGUGUAGGCUCAGGGGUGGCGGCGGCUUGGAAGGAGACCAUUUGUAGAUCGGGGUGCUGGUUCUCCUUUUCCCUUAUUGAAUCGGACUCACUUUGCCAUCAUCGGAGUCUGCUGACAGGAUCAUCGUUCGUUGGUGCUUAUGUGUACGCCUCCCCUUUGGAGGUGUGGGGCCAAUUUAGAGAGGGGUGGAGGCAGGUUGGUUAAGUGGCGGAGGCAUUGUCUUCUUUCUCCUUUUCGCCUCAAGAGAAGGGGAUGGAGCCCGCUUCCUUUUGUCUGGAAUUUCUCCUCGAUCAGGACAACUGGAGGAGAUCUUCUUGGCCCUAGACUUUUUAAAGAUUGGGGGAACGGAAAGUUGGAAGCAUCAUCUUGCUCCAUCCCUUAGACCACAAUCCUUACAGAAGGGGCCGUCGAGGUAUCGGAAGCAGCGGGGGCAUCAAUACCCUUAAAAAGGUCACCAACGUGUGGGACUUUGUGCAAUCAUGGUCUGCAUAGAAUAAGACAGGUUUAGUCUAAGGAAACAAAAAAAGGAUAAAACUAAAGUAGAAUGUGGAGGAAACACUUACUGGUGUGGCUCUUUAUUAUGUGCCUAAAGUACUGGGGCUACCAUUUGUUGAUGCGGAGGCAGGCGUCUCUAUCUACAAGUUUCACUUUGCACUGCCUCUGGGUGGUGGGUGGAACGACUAUCUGAUCAAUAGCCUCUCUAUCCAGCAGCUCCAUGUUGAAUUAGGGGGACAGGCCUUGAGGGACACAGUGGCUCAGUCUAAACUAGCCCGCUACCAGUUGAGGAUGAUAAGACUUCAAGUAUACUCUGAGAGACUUGGAGGAGGAGCCAGUGUAUGGCAGCCACAUCUUUUGGGGAGUGGUGGUUGAGAGAAAGACCUCAUCCCUUAGAGAGUUGGCGGGCUUAUUCUUCUUCACCAUAUAUUUGUAACAGGUAGGAAGGCAGCGAUCGGGGAUAUUGAAAGCUUUUAAGGUCCUCCCUAAAGACCAAUUUUGUUGACAGAAGAACUUGAAGUUCUUCGUCUCCACCAAUAGAUCACCACCCAAGAGAUAGGUGAAGGGAUGGUUGGCGCAGGAAUCAUCAGGAAAGGGCUUCGGUAGAAGGUUGGGGAAGUAGGUCGUCGUCGACAACUUUACGAACCAGACGGGCCCACUGAAGUUGCUGAAGGGCUUCUUGAUUAAGGACUCCCUCAUGCCGUCAUAGAGACGGCAUAGACACAUGGUCCUUAGGGCUAUAUGGUUGCUACAAAUAAGGGAUUGGGCGAUCCGGAGAUGCAACUACACGGGCUUUCCUCCCCUAGGGGCCAAGAUCCAUUGGCUGAGUAAGAUCUAGUUGAAGACCAAGUGCUCCAUGGCAGUGACGGGCUCAGAGGCUGGUUUCUUGGAGAACAGAUCCAUAAUCUUUGUAUAGAAGCCCACGGCCCUGAUCUUACUCUCCAAGUCAGCAGGCGGGGCGGUGUAGGAGUCGCGCUUCUCCAAGAUGGUGUAAAAGUUCUCUUCGCCGAUGAUGGGCAGCCCCAGGAACAUAAAGACGUCCCAUAGCAUGAGGGACAUCAGGCUGAGCUCAAAGAUGAAAGCAUUGUAGCCUGGAGCCGAGAAAUUGAGGAGGGUUGUCAGAAGGUCCAUGGGAAUGUCAACGUCGGUUAGAGACAGUUAAAUUAGGUCAUAUAGACCCAUUUCCUUCCACUGGAGCGCAUGAUCAGCCUUCAAACGCUUGUAUAGGAGAGGUCAUGGGUUCGAUUGCAUAGGAGCAUUGAUGUCGGAUAGGUCAGGAGAAAUCUUCAGAUAUCCGACAUCGCUUCUGUUGGAGAUUUGAAAACUCCAAGACGAAGUGUUGACAAAAAGAAAGCACAGUUAGAGCACUUUUUAAUAAAAUAAAAGGGCUAAACACUAAAGGUGAGAAACUUACUAGAAGGCCACUGAUUCAUGGAAUGAUGAACUCUCUUAGAAAAGAAAUGAACAAGAAUGAGGAUAGGAAACCAGGUUAAUAUAAAAAGGAGUUUUUUCAGACCAUGAAAUACAUACCAUUACGAGCCCGCCUAAUUGAUUCACCGGAUUACGGAUAGUUGCUAGAGAAUAUGGCAGACUACCAGUGAAAGUAGAGGAAGGGGUGGCGACAGAAGAAGCAAACGAAGCCAUUUGAAGGUUAUGAAGAAAUUUGGUAGACUGAAGACUUAAGUUCAAGAAAUGGCAAAAAAAGCAAAAGAAGUGACUAGAACCUGAAAACAAGUUUAUAUCGACAGAGGACGCUCAGAAAUGAAGCGAAGUUUUGAUUUUUUAAAACGUGCCAUGUGGCUUAUGUUACCAGCUAUUGGCACGUGAGAGGCAUUGUUUGGGCUAAAUAUGACACGUCACUCAAAUAGGUCACAAAGGUUGAGUAGUUGAAACGUCAGGCCCAAUAUAAAUAAAAGAGGCCGGCCUCGAAGCUCAUCAAAGUCAACAACACGUAAACAUGCCGAAAUCUUGUCGGCUUCAAAUAUCAGACCGUUGACAUGAAGACACGAUCCUAAGUUAUGUCGAAAUCUACACCCAAGUAGUUCAGUGAAACGGGCUGAUGGAGAGAUCGUGCCAUGAGUUUCGCGGGAUUCCUAAAUCUUCGGUAGAAUGUGCUAAGUCCCAAAGGAAAGGUUUCUGCUAUUAGACACUAUAAAUAGGAAGAAGAAAAAUAAAGAGAACAGUCAACACUCGAUCAAGACUCACAUAAUUUACAUUUAAUAGCUCUUUCAGUUCUUUAAUUUUUUGUCUGUAACUUUCAAACACUUUAAUAAAACUAUAUACUUGUUUUACCAAAACCUAUGUUUUUACAUUCGAGUGAACUGUGGUAAGGGAACUCGAGACCCUUUCAUUAUCUAUUUGAGAUCCAGUGUCUCUAGCACCCCUGGUAUUUGUUGUUCAGUCACGAACAACAUUAUUCUGAUCUUCUUGAUCAAAAAUCAAUUAUGAUGCUUUAACUGUUGUAGAUGUAGCUCUUGUACUAAUCUUGUCCAGAAUACUAGGUAGGGUUCAUAGAAGAUUUUCAUUUCAUCAUGACUGCUUCAAGAUUAACCUGGUUGUCAAAUAAUGUUUUCAGUGUGAAUGAGAUGGCAAAUGACUUGAAACAUUUUUUUUGUGUAGUUCUUUAAUAUGUUUAUGUGUGUGUGUGUAUAUCAAAUUAAUUAUAAUCUCUGAUAGCUGAGUAGAAUGAUAUAAUUUUAGCCUCUAUGCAUUGUAUUGGCUGAGAAAAAUUUGAUUAUCAUCAGAAUUUAGAGUUUAUAAUCUCUUCUUUAACAUGAUGGCUACUGUUCUUCUUACUUCUUGUUGUCAUUGUGAUGAAGCAGCUUGGUUGAACCAGUUAACAUAUGCGACAGAAUCUAAAUUGUUUUAGGGAGAAUUAUGAUUGAGCAAAAUCUAAAUUGUUUUAGGGAGAAUUAUGAUUGAGCUAAUAUAUGCAAAUUUCACUUUAUUUCACAAAGUCAAGUGAACAAACUAUUUUUUUUUGUCCUUUUUUGGGGUCUUUUUUUUUAAGGUGGUGUGGAUGAGAUUUUGGCAAUUCAUAUAAAUUAAAAAAAUUCAACACUUUUGAAUGCUCAGAAGCAUGAAUAAUGUAAAUUGAAAAUAGCCUUUUAAGUAUUUUUUUGGGCAAUAAUCUCUGAUGAUUACUCGUAGCAAUUCAAUAAAUAAAAUAUAUUAACAGAGACGAACAUUUGUUGUCCCAAGAACAAAGCAAUUCAAAUUAUGGAUCCUAAUAUAUUAAUUAUAUUAAUAGAAAUUAUAUAUAAUAUAUAAAUAUCGCCCGUCUCUACCCAAGAUCCCAGUCUCAAUUCCAUUUUUGUCUAAAUUUCAGAGUAAAUGGGCUUCUAGGUGUGGUAUUGAUUAGUGAUUCUUUCAGGACUGUGGCUUGUCACAUGAGUCUAAAUUCCAUAUUUUCGUAUGUAAAAGAAAGUAUAAAUAUCUUCAUAGGCCAGAUGCUCACUAAUGAGUACAGCAUCCUCAAAAUUGUAACCUUCCCACGGAAGGAGUCCUUGACCUGCAAUAGAUAGAAGAUGAUUUAUUCAAUCAUAUAGUUUGGGCUCUUAGAAUAUGGCGCCCUUGGGGCCUUCUAUUUGAAUAUUGGGAGCUUCUAUUUCAGAGCUUGUGCAUACCAUCUGCGAAUGGUUUUCAACAAUUUUAUUAGUGCAUAGAUAUCAAAGUUAAGUAAUUUCGAAGGCCAAAAUUAUGAUUUUGUUCGUGGUUGAACAACAAAUACCAGGCGUGCCAGAGACGUUGGGUCUUAAAUAGAUAACAAAAGGGUUCCAAGUUUCCUUACCAUAGUUAGCUCGGAUGUAAAAAGAUAGUAGCUUUGGUAGAACAAGUAUGUAAUUUUAUUGAAGUGUUUGGAAGUUACAGACAAAAAACUAAAAAACUGAAAGGGCUAGUAAAUGUAAAUUAUGCGAGACUUGAUCGAGUGUUGACUGUUCUCUCUAUUUUUCUUCUUAUUUAUAGUGUCUGAUAGCAGAAGCCUUUCUUUGGGGACUUAGCACGUUCUACUAAAGAUUCAAGAAUCCCACGAAACUCAUGGCACGGUCUCUCCAUUGGUCCGUUUCACUGAACUACUUGAGUGUAGAUUUUGGCAUCACUUAGGAUCGUGUCUUCGUGCUAAUGAUCUAAUAUUUGAAGUUGAUGGGAUUUCAGCAUAUUUACGUGUUGUGGACUUUGAUAAGCUUUGGGGCCGGCCUCUUUUGUUUAUAUUGGGCCUAACAUUUCAACUAUUUAGCCCAACUAGCUUUGUGACCUAUUUGAGCGACGUUUCAUAUUUAGCCCAAACAAUGCCUCUCGCGUGUAAAUAGCUGGUAACAUAAGCCACGUGGCAUGUUUUAAAAAAUUAAAACGUCGCUUCAUUUCUGAACACCCUCUGCCAAUAUAAACUUUUUUUUUCAGGUUUUGGUCACUUCUCUUGCUUUUUUGCCAUUUUUUGAACUUCAAGUCUUCAGUCUACUAAAUUUCUUCGUAACCUUCAAAUGGCUUCGUUCACUUCUUCUGCCGCCGCCCCUUCCUCUACUUCCACUAGUAGUCUGCCGGAGUCUCUAGCAACUAUCCGUAAUCCGGUGAAUCAAUUAGUUGGGCUCGUAACGGUAUGUAUUUUGUGGUCUGAAAAAACUCCUUUUUAUAUUAGCUUGGUUUCCUAUCCUGAUUCUCAUUCAUUUCUUUUUUAAGAGAGUUUGUCAUUCCACAAAUCAGUGGCCUUCUAGUAAGUUUUUCACCUCUAGUGUUUAGCCCUUUUAUUUUAUUUAAAAGUGCUCUAACUGUGCUUCCUUUUUGUCAGCACUUCACCUUGGAGUUUCCAAAUCUCCAACAAAAGCAACGUCGGAUAUCUAAUGAUUUCUCCUGACCUGUCCAACGUCAAUGCUCCUGCGCAAUCAAACCUAUGGCCAUUGACCUCUCUUUAUAACUUGGUCUUGGCCUAGACGAGUACUCCCUUCUCCAAGUCGUCCUGCAGAAAGCUCAAGAACUAGCCCUGGUUCCUUCGUGCUUGGGUCAACUGGGUGAAGCAUUUGAAGGCUAAUCAUGCACCCCAGUGGAAAGAAAAGGGUCUAUAUGAUCUAAUUCAACUGUCUUUGGCUGACGUUGAUGUGCCCGUAGACCUUCUGACAGCCCUCUUCAGUUUCCGGGCUCCGGGCUGCAAUGCUUUCAUCUUCAAGCUCAGCCCAAUGUUCCUCACGUCAUGAGAUGUCUUCAUGUUCCUAGGGCUGCCCAUCACCGGGGAAGAGAACUUCUAUGCCAUCCUCGAGAAGCACGACUCUUACACCGCCGUGCCUGCUGACUUGGAGAGUAAGAUCAGGGCCGCGAUCUUUUAUACAAAGAUUAUGGAGUUGUUCUCUGAGAAACCAGUCUCUGAGCUCGUCACUGCCACGGACUACGAGGGGAGGAAAGCUCGUGCAGCUGCAUCUCGGGAUCGCCUAGUCCCUUCUCUGUGGCAACCAGAUAGCCCUGGGGACCAUGUUUCUAUGCCGUUUUUAUGAUGGCAUGAGGGAGUUGCUGAUCAAGAAGCCCUUCAGCAACUUCAGUAGGACCAUCUGAUUCUUAAAGUUAUGGAUGACAACCUACUUCUCUAACUUUCAGUGGGAGCCCUUUCCUGAUGAUUCCCGUGCUAACCACCCCUUCAUUUGUUUCUUGGGUGGUCAUCCGUUGGUGGAGACGAAGAACUUCUUUAAGUUCUUCUGUCAACAAAGUUGGUCCUUGGGGAGGACCUUAAAAGCUUUCAACAUCUCCAACUGCCGCCUUCUCACCUGAUACAAAUAUAUGGUGGAGUAGAAGAACAAGCCCGCCAACUCUCUAAGGGAUGAGGUUUUUCUCUCAGCUACCACUCCUCAGAAGAUGUAGCUGCCAUACGUUGGCUCCUCCUCUAAGUCUUUUAGAGUAUACUUAGAGUCUUAUCAUCCUUGACUGGUGGCGGGUUAGUUUGGACUAAGCCAGUGCGUCCCUCGAGGCCUGUCUCCCCAAAUCAGCGUAGAGCUACUGGGCAAAGAGGCUAUUGAUCAGAUAGCCGUUCCACUCAACACCCAGAGGCAGUGCAAAGUGAAACUUGUAGAUAGAGAUGCAUGCUUCCGCUUCAACAAAUGGUGGCACUAGCGCUUAAGGCGCAUAAUAAAGAGCCACACCAACCGUGAUUGGACACAGUCUCAUGUGUUGGUAACCUUUUCAAAAGGUAAUAUUGAUGCCCUCGCUGCUUCUGAGAUCCCGACGACCCCUUUCGUAAGGACCGUGGUCCAAGGGAUGGAGCAUGACAACGCUUCCUCCCAACUUUUCGUUCCCCCGGUCUCUAAAAAGUCUAGGGCUAAGAAGAUCUCCUUCAGUCAUCCUGACCGAGGGGACAUUCCAGAUAAAAGAAAGUGGGCUCCAUCCCCUUCCCUUAGGGCGAAAAGGAGAAAGACAAUGCCUUCGCCGCUUGACCAACCUGCCUACACCCCUCUCCAAAUUGGCCCCACACCUCAAAAAGGAAGGCGCAUACAUAAGCGUCAAUAGACAAUAAUCCUGUUAGUAGACUCUAACGAUGGUAGAGUGAGUCCGGUUUAACAAGGGGAGAAAGAGACCUAACACCCCGAUCUCUAAAUGGUCUCCUUCCAAGCCGCCACCACCCCUGAGCUUAUACCCAUGGAUCUAGCUGGAUUUACUCAGGAGGUGGCCCAGGAGGUAGCAAAAGGUGGUGAAAGUCAGAGAGCUGUCCUGUCUAUCGUAACCCUAAGCAGUCCAGAAAACGUCGAGGCUGCUCUUGAUCAAUAGGAAGUUGUUGUUGCUGCCUCAGGCGAUCAGCUCGAGCUUAGGGUUCAGGACCUUGCUGCCACUACGAGCCCCUGGAUGAUCUACCCACUUAAUCUAAUCCUUCCCUUCUACUUAACAAAUCCUCAAGAGGGAAGGAGCUCUGAGUGGUUGCAGGCAAAGUCCAUAGGUGAUGCACUGACCGCCCUGGUCUUUACUUAAGAUGGCUUAGCACAGGUCAAGCGAGUUUCUUCACUUUAACUGACUAUGUGGAGAAGGCCCUGCGCUCAAUAGCGCGAUCUGCACGCGCUCUUCCUUCUUCCACAAGUAAAGACAAGGCUCUUAUGGACCCAAUCUAGGUAUAGUGUUGUUUGUUAUUUAUUUUCAUUCCUGCCAGCCUAGUAUUGGUCUUUUGCUAAUGUUAUUUUACUUUCUUCAGCUCGCUGCACUGGAGGUAGUACUUACGAAUGCUCUUUUCUUCUACAUUCACGUCCCUGGAACGGACGUGAUAUUGGAUGCUUAGAGAGUCAUCCAAUUCCAACUUAGCCGCGAUUCCUUCCUCAUCCCCGAGUAAAAUUUUAAGAAAAUGAUAUGGGCUCUCGAGACUGUGGUGAAGGCGGUCUUCAUGUCCGAGUUGGCGCUUCUGUGAGCUCAAGUCCUGGCGUGUUAUGGUAUUGUCAACCAAUGCUGUAAAGAACUCCCCCUUCUGUUUGAAUAUUUAAAGAACAACUAGGCAGUGAGGGAUGACUAUUUGGCUGCCAAGACUCGAACAACUGCUGCUACUGACCAGGUCCAGGAGAUUACCCCCCGUGUUGAUAAUCUUUGGGCAUUACGGGCUAAGGUGGUGGACUUGAGGCGCUAGCUCGCAACGGCUAAAGAAAAGUUGGCGAAGGCUGAGGCUGAGGCUGAGGACGGUCCAGCAAAACUCGAACUGGAAGUUGCUACUAAAGUGCUAGAUGAGGCGCAGACCGUCUCAAAUGUUAAGUUUUGAGCUAUGCUUGAGUUUAAAAUGGUCCUCACAUGUCACUAGACCCUUUCUGCAGAUCUAGACUCGGCUUUAUCAACGUAGGAGCUUAUGUGCAGCCUUUGUAAAUAGUAUACUUUAUGUAUAAACACACACACACACACACACAUUUUUUUUAUUUAUUUAUUCUUUAUUCCUUAUAACACGAUUCAAUGAUAAUAAAGAACAAAUAUAUUUUUUCUCA